UACGUAGGGUCAGGCAGUCGUUCGAUCGAUUGUGGCGUAAAGCGCGCGCAGGCGGUCCUUUAAGUCUGAUGUGAAAGCCCACGGCUCAACCGUGGAAGGUCAUUGGAAACUGGGGGACUUGAGUACAGAAGAGGAAAGCGGAAUUCCACGUGUAGCGGUGAAAUGCGUAGAGAUGUGGAGGAACACCGGUGGCGAAAGGCGGUCUGCUGGGCAGUUGCUG
rnacentral:rRNA from 1 species